ensembl:lncRNA LINC01476 long intergenic non-protein coding RNA 1476
GACAUAAUCUAAAUUCUUUCCAAAGAUGGAUGCAAAUGCUGGGAAAGCAAGAGUUGAAUUGCUAGCCAUGAGGAAAACGUAAGCCUGAGCUGUUUGCUGGCCAUCUUUGCUUCCACAUGGGGAUGGCCUGCCUGGAAAUGAAGCCACACAGAGAAAACAGAAGAGCAGUGAAGAGAAGGGUAAAAGGAGAGAUCCCAUGACAUGAUUUGCACUCUUAGAUCCAGUUAUGCCUGAUGCAGGACCCACCCCUUGGACUUCCCAUUUCCAGGAGCUAAAACUAGACUGAGUUGAGUUUCUGUCACUGACAGUUGACAGAAAAUAUCAACAAUCCAGCCACAUGGAGCCUCAUGGCAGUACCACUAACCCUGGUCACCACAUGAAUACUGACCAGAGGCAUUUCACCUGAAUCAACUGUUUGUGUUCUUAACUCCAUCUCCUCAUCUGCUUCCUGGAAGACCCAACUGACAUAGAUGGUUACAAGAAAUGAUUUCCUCCUUAUAAAACUCUAGAUGUCAAUGUGAUCUUUCACAAGCACACUGAAAAAUUCACACCGUGGAAAAGAACUAAAGUCCCAUCCUAAUUCAUCAGAGCCUUCUGUUUCCUGUAACAAAGAAGAACUCACAAGAUCAGGAUUCCAAGGUAUAUAUCUAGAAGUGGAAGUGCUGGGUUAUACGUUGCUGUCUCCUUGAUCUGGAAGCUUGUCCCUCCUUGUAACACCUGGCAGGCAUUGUCUCUUCUGGAAAGACUUUACGCCACUGCCCUCUUUUGCUGCCCUUUGACAACUGCAACUGAACUCCUCUGUUCUGAUAAAUUAUAUUGCCCCAGCUUCCUCAUUUUAUAUUGCUGACCAUGUAUCUUCUCCUGAAGACCAAAUACGAAGAAAUACACAAGCUUCUUGUAUAGAAGAUACCUAAAAAGUGUUUGCUGAAUGAAGAAAUAAAGGAUUGCUCAGGCACCACUGGCACUUUAAGUUGUUCAGCAAGUACUCGUGCCUCUUAAGAACUGGCCAAGGGCCGGGCGUGGUGGUUCAUGCCUGUAAUCCCAGCAUUUUGGGACGCCGAGGCGGGCAGAUCACGAAGUCAGGAGUUCGAGACCAGCGUGGCCAACGUGGUGAAACCCCAUCUCUACUAAAAAUACAAAAA